AAGAAUUUAUAAUCCGGCGAGGGAGAACGAGGGAAGCUGUCGCUGGCCUUUUGCGAGGCAUGUGCACGCAUCUUUCUGGAUCCUUCGUCGUAUGGGCGCGGGGCGACCCGCGUCUUCAUAUACCCCUUCGUGUAGAAAGUCUUUGAAUGUUAUACCAUCAUCGAGUCGCGACUUCUAGGAGACGCGAUUCUUUGAGACAAAAGUUAUUA
rnacentral:misc_RNA from 1 species